AUCGCUUCUCGGCCUUUUGGCUAAGAUCAAGUGUAGUAUCUGUUCUUAUGAGUUUAAUAUCUGAUACGUCCUCUAUCCGAGGACAAUAUAUUAAAUGUAUUUUUGAAGCUGGGAGUUGGAAUAGGAGCUUGCUCCGUCCACUCCAAGGAAAAAAAAAUAAAAGUUUAUUUUAUUCUUUCUACUAAGU
rnacentral:snRNA from 1 species